rnacentral:misc_RNA from 1 species
GAUGAAGAACGUAGCGAAAUGCGAUACGUAAUGUGAAUUGCAGAAUUCAGUGAAUCAUCGAGUCUUUGAACGCACAUUGCGCCCUCUGGUAUUCCGGAGGGCAUGCCUGUCCGAGCGUCAUUGCUGCCCUCAAGCACGGCUUGUGUGUUGGGCCCCGUCCUCCGAUCCCGGGGGACGGGCCCGAAAGGCAGCGGCGGCACCGCGUCCGGUCCUCGAGCGUAUGGGGCUUUGUCACCCGCUCUGUAGGCCCGGCCGGCGCUUGCCGAUCAACCCAAAUUUUUUAUCCAGGUUGACCUCGGAUCAGGUAGGGAUACCCGCUGAACUUAAGCAUAUCAAUAAGCGGAGGA